AGUGCAGCCUGCAUGUUAUUCUUCACGGAUGCAUGCAUGUGUGUUUGGUUGGGAUACUCACGGAUCUGACACAGCAUGCCCUGCCAUCCUGCAGCACAGUGGCAGGUGUUUGCUCCCACACACUCGCCUCCGUUCAGACACUUCUGCAGACAGCUGGCUGUGAGGCAACAAGAUGAAACAUCAGAGGUCACAUCAGACACAAUAAAGCCCUAAACUCUGGAUAGCUAAGAUGUGAUGUUGCAAAGCCACGACUGUAAGAUUUGGUCUGGAUAGCUUCUGCACAGGUCUGCAGGUGUGCACACUGAUGCAUCAUGGGAUCUGACAGCUUGGACAGUUGAAUGACGAGGUCCUAAAUGUGAAGCGCCUGCUCUGAUCCGAUUCUUGUUUCUUGGCACUCACGUUUAUCGCAUCUCUUUCCUCGCCAACCGGACGGGCAAUCGCAAACAUCUGGGCCAACGCAUCUGCCGCCGUUCAUGCACAUGGGCUCGCACACACCUGCAGAGAGAGAAGAAGAAGAAGCAUAUUGCAGUUUGGCUUGAAAAGAUGAGUAAUGUGGAGGAGACAAAGAAGAAGAAGAAGGAGGUCUGACUUUUCUCGCAUCUCCUCCCGGUGUAUCCCUGCAGACAGGAGCAGACGUUGUUCCUCAUGCAGAGACCGCCGUUCUUACAGGGAGGACUGCAGACCGCUGAAACAGGAGAAACAACAGAACACAUUCAGACACUAAUAACCAGAUAAAUACUCCUGCAGCUGAUUGAUGUGUGAAUGUCUAGAUUUACCGUUCUGACACUGUGCUCCGUAGAAACCGUGAGGACACUCGCAGAGAUUCGGCCGCACACAUGAGCCUCCGUUCAUGCACAAGGGCGAGCACAGAGCUGCAGACGGACCAGACAACGCUGUUAAGAGAUCCUGAAGCCGAGUUCCCCUACCUGCCUUGGCGUUCUUCAUGCAGACACGUCCGUUGCCGUAGAGGCCGGGUGGGCAUCGUCCGCAGACGUACCCGACAUGUGGUGGCCGGCGGUUGAUGCAUUGAACUCCGGGGAAGCAGGGCCGGCUUGCACACGUAGACGACACCACCAGCGACAGAUCAGAUCCUGAGAGACACAAACAAGCUGGACCACGGCGGACGUCUUGGCGAUGGUGUUGCUGAUGUCCGGUUGAUUUGGCAGGUCUCCUGAGAUGUUCAUGAAAGAGUCGGCAUCGGUGGUCUGCGGCUUAAGCUGGAUUCCUGUGGCGCUGGUCUUCAUCAGCGGGCAUGCCUUUGGGGCAGUCGCCGCAGCCGAAGGAGCCGAAGUUGUUGAAGCACUGGACUCCCGGGAAACAAGGCUUCCUCUCACACUCAUUGAUGUCCUCCAGGCAUG